GCAGUAGCCGCGGUAACACAGAGGGUGCGAGCGUUAAUCGGAUUUACUGGGCGUAAAGGGCGCGUAGGCGGUUUGGCAAGUUUGGUGUGAAAUCUUCGGGCUCAACCCGAAGUCUGCACCGAAAACUGCCGGGCUUGAGUAUGGGAGAGGUGAGUGGAAUUUCCGGUGUAGCGGUGAAAUGCGUAGAUAUCGGAAGGAACACCUGUGGCGAAAGCGGCUCACUGGACCAUUACUGACGCUGAGGCGCGAAAGCUAGGGGAGCAAACAGGAUUAGAUACCCCCGUAGUCCCUGUCUCUUAUAC
rnacentral:rRNA from 1 species